rnacentral:lncRNA from 1 species
GCUAGGGGUUCAGGAACAGGGUUGUCAACUUGUCGAGUGCUUGUUUGUGGUUCAUCAUUAAUCUCAUUAAUUUCUUUCAAUUCUAUCUUGCUAGUUCCUUUAGAACGAAUUCAUCUUCCAUGAAUAUAGCAGUUCUGGCGACAAAGACUUUCUGGUCGUCAGGGUGAUAGAAUUCGUAUCCAUAAGUCUGUUUAGGAUACCCCACAAAAUAGCAUUUAACGGAUCUCGCUUCAAGCUUUCCAGCAUCUUGUUUCUUAACAUAUGCUGGACAACCCCAAAUCUUAAGAUGUUUAAGACUUGGCUUCUUCCCAUACCAUAUCUCAUAUGGUGUUUGUGGAACAGAUUUAGAGGGCACUGCAUUUAGCAAAUAAGCUGCUGUGUGUAGUGCAUAUCCCCAGAAUGAUAUUGGUAGAUCAGCGGAACUCAUCAUAGAACGAACCAUGUUCAUCAAGGUUCGGUUUCUCCUCUCAGAAACUCCGUUAUGUUGUGGAGUUCCUGGUGGAGUCCACUGUGAUACAAUUCCACACUCUUUGAGAUAAUCUAGGAACUCAUUACUCAGAUAUUCACCGCCUCGAUCCGAUCUUAGGGUCUUUAUCUGUUUCCCAGUUUGCUUCUCAACUUCAUUCUUGAAUUCUUUGAACCUUUCAAAGGAUUCUGACUUGUACUUCAUAAGAUACACAUAGCCAAACCGAGAGUGAUCGUCGGUGAAUGUGAUAUAGUAGGAGAAGCCUCCUCUCGACGUAGUAGACAUAGGUCCACAAACGUCAGUGUGGAUUAACCCUAGAAUUUCAGUGGCACGCUCUCCUUUUCCAGUAAAUGGAGAUUUGGUCAUCUUCCCUUUUAAGCAACAUUCACAAGUACCCAUCCGGUCAUUACCUAAUGGGCGGAUAUAUCCGUCUUUCGACAUCUUGCGAAUCUUAUCAAGGUUCACAUGUCCAAGUUUAAGAUGCCACAUCUUUUCUUGGUUAACUUCUUCUCUAGCCCUUUUGGGUUUUGAGGUAUUCCCGCUUUCAAUACAGUGCGUCCCACUAUUCGUCUCUAGGUGAAAAAGUCCCUCUAUCAUAUUACCAUGAGAGAUAAUACGACCGUUCAAGUAUAAAGUGCAACUCAUUUUGUCAAACAAUACUGAGUGCCCAUCUCGUAAAAGCUUAGAGAUAGAAAUCAAAUUCUUUAUACAUGAAGGAAAAUAUAAACAAUUUUUAAGUUCCAGGACUUCCCCAGAGGGUAGGUAAAGCAUGUAGGUGCCUAUUGCUUUUGCAGAGAUUUUAGUCCCGUUCCCAACUCGCACAACCAUCUCCCCAUUGCGCAGUGACCUGCUCCCUGCUAGUCCCUGCAACGUAUUGCAAAUAUGUUGACUAGCGCCUGAAUCAAAUAUCCAGGAAUUGGAGCUCACUGUAAAAGCACUCUCUAUGACAGAAAUAGUCUCUUCAAAAGUUCGUGUCAUAAGGCUCGCAAUGCGCACCCUGUAUUUCUUUUUCCAACGUUCAUCCUUUCCACAAUGAAAGCAUGUUCCUUUGGAUUUCUUUGCCUUCUUCUUAUGCAACCUUUUCCUUGUGUUUGCAUUCUCACUCCCACUGUCCCUUUUGAAACCUUUUUCAAAUUUACAGCACAUGUCAAUCAUCUCUUUCAAAGAAUGAUCGAAUCUAUUCACUUUAUAGUUUACAAUAAACUUAGUGAAAUCAUCCGAGAGAGAUGCAAGGAAAAAGUCUUGGGCCAUUUUCCCAUCGAUGGAAGUUCCUAAACUUUUAAGAUCUCUAAAUAUCUUUUCCACCUUUUGUCCAUGUUUAUGAACCGAUGCCCCCUUUGCCAUCUUGGCAUUCAUUAGACUACAAACAUUUGAGAAUCGUACAUUACUAGUCUCAAUGUCAUGCAUCUUAUGCAAACUUUCAACCAUGGCACAAGAAGUGUCCAUGUGCUUAUGUAGCUUCAUAAGCUCCUCACUAAGUGAAGUAAGGAUUAAGCAUUUGGCUUGUAAGUCAUCCUCAUAGUGUCUAACAUAAUUUUGACACUCCUCCUUUGAAGCUAGUUUCGUAGGAGGUACAUGAGGAGGGGAUUGCUUAAGCACAUACAUAUGUCUUUCACCUUUGAGACAUUCUCAAUUUGGCGAUACCAAGCAAGGAAACGUUGGCCCUUAAGGCCACUUUUGUCAAGAAUAAUGGUGGGUAUAAUUUUAGGCAUGUCGUUCACUACAUAACAUAACAGAAAUCGUAUUAGAUUGUUUGUUUAAAACUAUUUGAUUGGGUCUUUGAAUCAAAUAGUACCACCCACUAUUUUUGGCAAAUUCCACAUCCCUCAAUAGAAUUCGAGAGUUAUAUUGAACUCUUAGCGGGUUAUGGGAGACUCACCAUUACCAAGCCCACUUCAGAAUUAUAUCAUGUUGGUUAGCAAAAAUAAUGAUGAGAGAAUAACGCAUUAUUCAUUUACAACUCUUGUAAUUACCCAUCUUGUUUGGCCUCUAGAGAAUGAUUACCUCAGAAUUAUAUCAUGUUGGCACCAUUGCACUUAGUUAAGUCAUUCCCACCAUGCUUAGUUUAUGUAGAGGUUCAAGCACAACCUCAGAAUUAUAUCAUGUUGGUCAUACUCGUUGUCUACACUCACCUCAUCAUAAGUUUAUGGGUUCCUCCUGGAUGUAAGCACAUACUUUGUACUUCCCCAUUAUAGGGUGAAGUCGGUGCAUGAGUCACAAACGAUUGGAUCCCACCACGGUGGAAGGCCUACGAAGAGAUGUUCAAAGCAUCUCUCGCUUAUCAACUUAAUAUUCGUUUUGAGGGAGUAGUUUUGGGCUACAUCAAAACAUUUUAAUCAUAUUAAAAGAACUUGGGCCUAUCACAACCAUUGGUCCAAGUUAAUAUGAUUUAGUAGCAUAUAAUACUCCCACUGUUUCGUUGAAACAAGCGAGACUAUAUGGUCUACUAACGAAUGCAUUGCAUCCUCAUAUGGACUAUAUAGUCAUAUUAGGUUUUAGGAUGAUUAUGAACCGUUUGAUUUGAUCCAACACGAGCCUUGUGUUGGACCUUGGGUUUAAGGUAGAUAGUUGUUGAUUUUAGUUACGCGUUUAAUCCAAUUAAACCGUUAUUUCCUAUUGGGCGUUGGACCCAACUAUUCCAUUUUGCAUACAUAUAAACAAAAAGGAAUACAUGAAAUAAUAAUAAGGGCUUAUGCCCUUUUACAACAUAAAUCAAAUGAUGGACUUAUGUCCAUUUACAACAAUUGAAUUAAUCAAAUUACAUUCAAACCUAUACUACUAAAAACCCAAACAUUCAUAAUGUAUAUCGGCCAAUCACAUAGCUCAAUUAUCGUGGCCUUUGGUUCAUAAUCACCCUUUUCUCAAUUAAUCACAUUAACUAAGAAAGCAACUUAAACAAUUGGUUUUUGGAUCCAUAGAAUUGAUUUAAAUGGAACUAAAUGAAAUGAAAAUCCAAUUCUCAUUAAAGAGACAAAACAAUUUUGUUCUCAUUUUAUUUGGGCCAAAAAGGAAACUAUGACCACAACAAUUGGGCCAUAAUGCAAAUACAAAAACUUUUGGGGUCACUUUGUAUAAACACAAUAGUCCACAACUUCAUGUAAAUACAACUAGAGCCCAAAAUUUCAUUAAUGUAAAAACAUCAUUAAAGGAUCAAAACAAUUUGUCCUUUAGCGUUUUAGGACCUUAACGUAAAAACGUAAACUUUUGGGCCAAAAUGCAAAAACACAAAAUUUUCACAACUUUAUGUAAUUGCACAAAAGACCCCAAAAGUACCCCACUUGAGGGGUGGCCGGCCAAGGGAGUGUGAACAAGUGUGAAAGGGUUUUAGUGCAUGCAUGUGCAAUAUGCAAGUUGAUUUUGGUGGGUGAGGUGAAAUUGAUGGUUUGUAAGAAAAUGUUUUGUAAAAACAUUAAUGAGUUUAGACAAACAUUAAAGAUAUUUGUCUAACAUUAAAACCAAAAUUAAUGCUUCACCAAUAUCCAUCACCCAUCAAAAUUAAACCAAAACUUUAUGAAAAACAUAAAACUUUUGAAUCAAAACUUCAAACCUUUUUGUUCUUGGCAAGAACUUCAAGAACAAUGAAGAAACACCAUGAAAAACUCAUAAUAGUUCCAUGGAUGUUUUCAUUCACCAAAACUCAAUUUUUCACCUCUCAAAAGAGGGCUAAUAUCCUAGGGUACUUAGGGGUUCCAAAAGUCACCUUAAAACCAUUUUAACAAGACAAACAUGAACCCAAAAAGUCACCCUAAGGAUUUGGCCGAAUUUCCCAAAACACAUGGCACCAAAUUUUAGUUCCAAUAUUCAUGCUUAAAUGAAAUACAUCUACAACAUUUGAGAUGCUAAAUUUUCUAGCAAAAUUUAUAUAUUCAAAAGCAAAAAACAAAGCUUGUAACAUUUACAACAUUUAAAUCACAAAAUAUGAACAUCACAAAACCCAAAAGGAUUCACCAUACACUAGGCCUAGGCUCUGAUACCACUUGAAGGAAAAAAUUUUGUCCUAGCUAAGAACAAGUAUGAACAUUUGAAUACACAUGCAAGCUAUCAACACUUUAAAGUAGGCAUGCAUCCAAAAACAAUUCAUAAAACCCAUGACUUUCAAAGCCUAGUAUAUGGUGAACCAAAAUAAACUCUUUAACAAAAUUAAAGAGAAGUAAAGAUUUAGUGAUUCUUUACCCUUGAAGCUCAUCCUUGUUUACACAAGGGAUUCACCCAAGUGGAGGGCCUUCAAGUCACCUCCAAGCUCCUUGAAUCCUCCUUGUGUUUUCCUCCCUUUAGUGCUCCUUUGAUGAUUAGAGGAAAAAGGAUUUGUUCUCCAAAAACAUCAAAAGCUUGAUGUCUCUAAGUCUCUUCACCAAGGUUGUAUCUUGUGAAGAUGGAAUGGAUGACUAAAGGAAGAAGAGAUUGCUAGAUGUCCCCUCCUUUAGUGGCCGGCCUCCUUAGAAGAAAAUGGAGAAAAUGUUUCACCCAAUUUCAACAAGAAAAACCCUAAUGAGAAAAUAGUUAUAAAGUUGCUUUUAUAACCUUUUCUUUGGUGAGUGGCAAACUUGUAAUUAAGCAAACUUUGCCAAUCCACCCUUAUGGCCGGCCAUCCUUUGUUAUUGGGCUAAUUUGCCCAUUUUGUUUUAGUUGUCAUACAACUUGAACAUAAUGGGCCUUUUGGACCAAAACGCUUUUGGGCCCCGAAACCCAAAACCAACAUAUAAGCCCAAUACGAACCUUUCGUAAAAUUAAUUAACUAAUUAAUUAAUCUUGACCAUUCUUCAAUUAAACCAUUUAAUUGCUUAUCCAUUUCAUAUAAUUUCUUCACAUACAUCCUUACUCGGUGUACGAUCCAUUAGGUUCCAAUUAGCGAGGCAGUGGGCGAUGUUACUCUUAACUAUCGAUUUAUGAAUUGAAACCACAUUUCAAUUCUCCCUUUAAUGAUUAGUGUUACCUAAUCAUUUGGGCUUCCACAAACCAUGAGUGACACCUAGCAGUAUGUCAUGGUUACCCAAGCUAAGUAGAAUUGGUUGGAGAACCUAUCCAGUUACAAACUACAAUGCAAUACGGUCCUUCUCUAAUACAAUACUCUUAAUCACAUUGUUUAAGUGAUAGUUUGUUUCAUGUCUACUAUCCAAUGUGAUACUUUCCUAUAUGAUUCCCUUGAAUAUGAUUUGGAACAAACUUCCUAAGUCAUAUUCAUUUGCUUUGGCCAAAGACUUUAGAAUCAUAUCUUAGAGUAUUCUCCCUCCACCAUGGAAGGUUAGAGAUCCCUUGUUGUGCAUUCAUAUGCCUACAUGAUUAGAUAGCUUGACCCCAACAAUGCCGUGGACACUCCAAAGGAAUGCCGUUGACAGGAUCAAAGAUCAAGGACCUAACCAUUAGACAUCGAUGAUGCCUCAGGUCAAAGGACUACUUUGCAUAUUGCAACUUUAGAGUUCAUACAUGACAUGUAUGUUCGAACUCUCUUUUGAUCGUAGUUCAGUGUACUCGACUACUCUUUAGAGCACCUAUGUGUUUGUCUUAGUGUCCAACACCAAAUGACUUGAGACUAGUCAUACUCACGCUUGAGUCAACACAACACAUACUAACCUUAGCGGAUUGUCAAUGCCCAAUUGGCAAUCCUAUGGCUAGGAACGUUUUAGGAAUGAACAUAAGAGAAAGGUCUCGAUAAUCUAACUCACUUAGAUCACUUAUCUCUUAGAACAAAUACAUUCCUUGGAUUCUCUUAUUGCUUAAACACAUGAUACAAUAAAUAGUGAUUAACAAUAAGAAUUGCCAUUCAUUAAACAUAUAAAAGUUUAAUACAUUAAGUAUUCCAAAAAGCUAUUACAUCAAAUGAGUGGCUUUGUGGGCAUACUUCCAACAGGUCUCCCAUUUAUAGCUUUGGGUGGCUUUGGCAUGAUUAUUUCUAGGUGGAAAGAGCACAAAGACAGCUCACACACAUGCAAAACAAAGCUGGCAGCAUCCUUCCCUUCCCUUGCCGUGAGAUUCUUGUGUCCAUUACCUUGCAAUUCUUUUCAUUUCCAACCUCUAUAUAAGCACCAUUCAGCCUUCAAGGAAGACACACAGAAAUUCAUACACAUUUACAUUAGUUCCAAGGCUUGCAAAGAAGGAUGAGUGCUUGGAGUUGUGCUAGCCAUUCCAUUGGAGUUGUUGGAGCAUUCUAGGUGUAUGCUACUUUGUUUUUCUAUGUUUAAUAUCAAUUGUUUUUGUUUAAUUGCAAGUAUGAGGAACUAAUCCCCUACUUAGCUAGGGGGAAGUUCGAAGCCAUGAACAUGCUUGAGAUAUGAAUUGAUUUCUUCCAAUUGUGAUUUAAUAAGUUGUGAAUGCAAUUCAAUUAACUACUUUCUUCAAAACUAAUUCUUGUAUGUUGAUUAAGGAUGCAUACUUAGUUUUCAUGCAUGAAUUUGAUGCUAGGAUAUAAAUGAGUUUCACCUAAUCGUUACAAGUUUAUAUUCAUUGGUAGUGAAGGUUGCUAGUCACAAUCGCGUUAAUUGAAUUCUUGGCAAACGUAUCAUGCAUUCAUAGUUACGAAUGCCUCGUUAACACUUAUGAUUUUCAUAGAAUGUAAUGAUCUUUGAUUGUAUCUCUAUUAUGCAUUCAUGUAGGGGACUUUUGGAGAAUAAUUUGGAUUGUCGUAUGCAUUCAUCCAAUUCAAUAAAUCAAGGAAAAUCUGAGGAUUAAUUAGUGCAUCACGGUUAAUCUGGGGUGUUGAGUUUCAUAAUCUAUUGAAAAGCAAUUGGAAAUCAAUUCAUGUACAAGUGUGUCAUGUGUGAAGAAUGGAUCUCUAGCUAAUCCAUCAACCAUCUAUUGAGUUUUACUUUUUGUUGUUAUCUCAAUCUCAUCAAAACCAAAUCCCCCCUUUUAAUUCUUGUUCUAAAGUGUCUUAAAUUUGUUUAGUUUGUGCUUUAAAGUGUUUUGAGUCUAGUGAGGUAUUGUAAGGCAUAGUUUUGUGUCAUUGAGUCUAUUCUAACGUUUUUAACUUUGUUCUUAUAUUUUUGAGUCAAGUGAGAGGUCAUUAGCAAGCCCUCCUAAUCCCCGGUCCAGAACGAUCCCUACUUACAUACUUUGCUACAAUUGUCAAAAGAGGGUUUAAUUUGUGUGCUUAUUUUAUUCGCAUCAGAAGGCCUUCAUAAAAGUAUUGGAGUAGCAACUUUUCCUUCAUUUGAUGCUGCGGACAAGAAGCAACAAGCGUUUUAAAACGUUCAUAAUAAGAUGGAAAAGACUCACCUUGGUUUUGUUGGAUGCCACUUAUCCUUUUCCUCAAGAGAAUGACUCUUGAAGUAGGGAAAAAUUUCUCCAAAAACGCUCAUUUCAUACUUUCCCAAGAUGUAACCGUCCCAGGUGCCAGCUCAUAUAACCAAUCUUUAGCUUUAUCCAUUAGAGAGAAUGGAAAAGCCUUCAUCUUCAAGAUGCUGCCAUCAACAUUAACCGGAGUCAUACUUGAGCAAACCACCUCAAAUUCUUUCAAAUGCUUGUUAGGGUCCUCCAUGGACAGCCCAUGGAAUUUUGGGAUGUGGUGCAGCAAACUAGACUUCAAUUCGAACUCCUUGGUCUUGCCUUGAGCUGCCAUGGGAUAUUGGAUGCAUAAAGGUGCGGCAUUGUCCAAUCCCGAAGCCAAAAGCUCCUUGAUUGUUCAGUUGUCGGCUGCCAUGAUUGGUGCUUCCUCAAAAAUCCCAGCCGUGCCCCUCUCUUCUUCUUCUAAAACUUGUUCUUCAAAGUCAGGUUCAAGGCUAGGUGGGUUAGACUCUUGUUAGUUCCUCUUUCUUCUCAAAGUUCUCUCAAAUCGUCGUCAAAGUCCAAAAUAUGCUCAGGAACAGGUUGGGAACUUCGAGUCAUGCACUAGUACCUAAAAACAAAGAAACAAAAAAAAAAAAAAUCAGCAAUUAGGAUAGAAAACAAACGAAAAUAAAAAGAAAUAACGAGGGAUUAGCAAAGUUGCUAAUCCCCGGCAACGGCGCCAAAAUUUGAUGCGUAAAAUAACUAAACACACAAAUUAACCCUCUUGUUGACAAUUGUAGUAUGGAUGAGUAGGGAUCGUUCUUAAACCGGGGAUUAGGAGGGAUUGCUAAACACUCUAAACUGACUCAAAUAUGUAAAACAAAGUUUGAAACACUAAACUAGACUCAAAGAAUGCAAAUCUAAACUCUAAAACACUAAAACAAAACAAAAGACUCAAAACAGCACAAAAACACUCAAAACUGCCUUAAAAACACUUUCUGGGCAGUUUUGGACUCUAACACAAACUUGGACGAAAUUUGGUUUUCUAAUGACUUAAAACACUUAAAAACAUAAUCUAAGACAAGUUCUAACUAAUAUGACUCAAAGAAAUAAGGUGGGGUUGAUUUUGGAUGAAAAUAAGUAAAUUAAAACAAGAACAAUGUAAACAGAUUCUUAUUAGACAAAAUUAGGUGAAUUGAUGAGAUAUGGGGUAACUAGAGGGUUCUUCUCCACACAUGAUACACUUGCAUUCAAAUUUGAUUUCCAAUUGCUUCUUUCAAUAAACCAUGAAUCUCAACGCCCUAGGUUAACUGUGAUAGCAUUUUUUUUAACCUUCAAGUCUUCCUUAAGUUAUUGAAUUGGAUGGGAAUGCACAUGCAACAACUCAAAACAUUCUCUAAAAGUCCCAUACGUGAAAAGCACAAUAAAGAUACAAUCAAAGAUCAUUAAGCUUCAUGAAAACUAUAAGCAUUGACGAGGCAAUUGUUACUAUGAAAAGCAUGAAACGUUUGCCAAGAAUUCACUUAACACGAUCGUUUAUAAGCGACCUCCACUACUUGCAAAUAUAAGGUUGUAACUAUUAGGUGAAACUUCCUUAUAUUUUAGCUUCAAAUUCCUGCAUGAAAACUAAGUUGGCCACCUUAAUCAACACAAAAAUAAGUCAUCAAUCAAACGGUUAAGCAAAUUGCAUUCACAAUUCAUGAAAUAACAAUUAGAAGUAAUCAAUUCAUCUUGCAAGCAUAAUCAUGGUAUUGAAUAGCCCCCUAGCCAAAAAGGCUUAGUUCCUCAUGUUCACAAAACAAAGGAAAACAGAUUUAUACAUUGUAAAUAUAAGAAAGAGAACACCUAAAUACUCCAACGAUUCAAUGUUGAACAGCUAGAACCUUCAAGCACUUCUUCUUCCUCUCCUUUGCUGCGGCACAAGGGUUGGGGGUGAGUUUGGGGAGUUAUGGAUGAUGUAGAAGGAUGGAAUUAAGGUUAGGAUGGAUGUAGGGGACGGCAAGGGUUGUUUCUGGGCAGAAAAUAUGAUGAAUGGUGAAGUAUGGAUGUGGUAGAGAGUGGUGGAUGAUUUUUGGCGUGAAUGGUGAAUGAAUGGAUGUUUUGUGGCUGCAAAAAGGAGGUUUAUUUAAAGGAUUUCAGGAAUUAAAACCCUAGGUUAUUGAGGUAAUCAGAAAUUAAGUCAAAAGCUUCUAAAAAUAGGAAAUCAAAUCAGAAAACUAAGGGAAAUUGGCUAAGAUAUGCGGCAAGGGAACAAAACACAAUAGGAAUGUGUUUUAAUGCAAGGAAAUAGGAAAUAACCCUCUCCCUUGCACGGCAAGGAAGAGGAAAGGUUAAGGGGUGCGGCUGAUAUGUAGGAAAGGUUUAGGGAAAGGUUUAAAUGUCCUAAAAUUGAAGGGAAAGGGUUCCUUUGCACGGCAAGGAAGAUGGGAUUGUGGAAAGGGCCUGUGAGGUGCAGCAUUGACUUAGACCAUGCAAGAAAUGUGUGCUUGAUUUCCUAGAAUACUUAGGAGGCCUUCAAAGUUAAUAACACUUAGGGACACUUAGGAAAGGUCAAACCAAAGUAGGAAACCUUGGCUUAACUUUCCUACUUCAAGUAGGAAUCCUUGUUGGAGUAGGAAUCCUUCUUCAAUUAGGAAUCCUUCGUUGAUUAGGAAUCAUUUCUUUUUCAAAUCUUCAAUUUCAUUCAUUCCUUUUGCUCCAAGCUUGUGAUAAUCAUUCCAAGCCCAAUUUUUCUCCAAAAGGCUCCAAAAUGCAUACUUUGUCCUUAGAAUCUGAAAACACACAAAGUGACUUUAAACACUAAAAUAACUAAGGAAACACAACUAAAAUGCACUAGAACAAGCCAAUUAAGUCGCAUAAAUAUGCUCCUAUCAAUAGAUUGGGAUAAUCCAAUUAAUUUUUUGGAUCUAUCACGAUAGAGCUUUAUCCCAAGUACAUAAGAUGCAUCUCCCAAAUCUUUCAUGUGGAUGGUUUUGGACAACCACACUUUUACAGAAGAAAGUAUUGUAGUGUCAUUCCCGAAUAGUAAUAUGUCAUCUACAUAUAACACUAGGAAUACAACUGCAUCCCUAACGACCUUUUGAUAAACAUAAUUGUCGUCUUUAUUUUGAGUAAAACCAAACGUUUUGAUUUUAGUAUCAAAACGAAUGUUCCAGCUCCUGGAGGCUUGCUUAAGUCCAUAAAUGAACCUUUGAAGCUUGCAUACCUUAGUCCUUUCAGACUUGGACAUGAAACCUUCGGGUUGAGUCAUAUAGAGCUCUUCCUCUAGGUAGCCAUUCAGAAAGGCCAUCUUCAUGUCCAUUUGCCAUAUCUCAUAAUCAUGGUACGCAUCUAUAGCAAGCAAAAUCCGAAUGGACUUAAUCAUGGCUACAGGAGAGAAGGUUUCCUCAUAGUCAAUCCUUUCUCGUUGCCUAUAACCCUUGGCUACUAGUCUAGCCUUAUAAAUCUCCAUGUUCCCAUCAACGCCUAGCUUCCUCUUGAAGACCCAUUUGUUUCCAACAGGUACUAUACCUUCUGGAGGGUCUACAAGAGUCCAGACCUGAUUUUGAUACAUGGAAUCCAUCUCAGAUUUCAUGGCCUCUUGCCAUCUCUUUGAGUCAAUGUCGGACAUUGCUUCAGUGUAGUCCCUAGGGUCCUUCUUUGUGUCAUUGUCACCUAGAAGGUGCAAUUCCCCAAAGUCAUUAUCUAAGCCAUACCUCUUAGGUGGCUUGCUAACCCUUUCAGAUCUACGUGGAGCUAGGGGUUCAGGAACAGGGUUGUCAACUUGUCGAGUGCUUGUUUGUGGUUCAUCAUUAAUCUCAUUAAUUUCCAUCGUUUUACUUAUAGUUCCUUUGAGAAUAAAUUCGUCCUCUAGAAACUUAGCAGUUCUGGUGACAAAGACUUUUUGGUCGUCAGGAUGGUAGAACUCAUAUCCCAUAAUUUCUCUAAGAUAUCCCAUAAAAUAGCACCUAACUGAUCUCGCUUCAAGCUUAGUAGCUUCAAUCUUCUUGACAUAUGCUUCACAACCCCAAAUCUUAAUGUGAUUAAGACUUGGCUUUCUUCCAUGCCAUAUCUCAUAGGGCGUCUGUGAAACUGACUUGGAAGGUACUCUAUUAAGCAAGUAAGCUGCUGUAUAUAGAGCGUAUCCCCAGAAUGUUACUGGUAGAUCUGUGAAACUCAUCAUAGAACGAACCAUGUUCAUUAAGGUUUGAUUUCUCCUUUCAGAAACUCCAUUAAGUUGUGGAGUUCCCGGUGGAGUCCACUGUGAUAUUAUUCCACACUCUUUGAGAUAAUCUAGGAACUCGGUACUUAGAUACUCUCCCCCUCGAUCUGAUCUUAGGAUCUUUAUAUGUUUCCCAGUUUGCUUCUCAACUUCAUUCUUGAAUUCUUUGAACCUUUCAAAGGAUUCUGACUUGUACU